ensembl:snoRNA
CAGACCAGUGAUGAAGAGUGGUGGCAUUUGAGUCAUGGAUGAUGAACAAUAUGUGUCCUAAACUCUGAGGUCCAA